UCUCAGGCUGUGACCCUCUAGAGGGAAGCGCUUUCUGUGGUCUGAAAGAAAAGAAAGUGCUUCCUUUUAGAGGGUUACCGUUUGGGA
ensembl:miRNA MIR520C microRNA 520c